AGCCAUAUUCCAUUGAAUCACUGGGUCCCAUACAAUCACCAAAGUUAAGCAAUGUCAAGCCUGGUCAGCACCUAGAUGGGUGAUCACUCAGAAAUAUCAGGUGCUGUAAG